ACGCGGACAUUGAUGUCUCGCCCCCACAUGACUCGGGUGCCGAGAACUGUUCCCGGAGGGGAACAGUAAUCGGAUAACCGGGGGAACAGGUCAGGCCGGGAACGGAGCAGCCCUACCUGGGGCCAUGAGUGCUGUGGGGUCACGGGAUGGAGGAAGUGUGUGGGCUUGGCCAAGAGGAACGAGCGUCCACCUUAGGCCCUCCCACUU
rnacentral:SRP_RNA from 1 species